UGAUCCUUGAUAUAAUAAUUGAUAUUAUUGAUAUCAAUUAUUGGUAGAUUGAUAUAAUUGAUAUGAUAUUCUGAUAUGAUUACUAAAAGUUUGUUGGCUACUUCUGAUUGUUCUGAUAACUUAAGUUCUAUUCUUUUUUAAAAUGGGAAUUUACAAGAAAUGGCUCGAGUUAAGUGUCGCUUAUGUCUGCAACUCAAUCAAUGUUGAGGUACUUUAUGAGUCCUGACUAGUUGUGUCUGCCCAGAGCUUCUUGAUAUCUGUUUCCUUUUAAAUUUACUUUAAAAUAGCCAGUCUAACAAUAUUACAUGUGCUUCAUGCAUUUAACUUCAAACAUUGUUUUCUAAAGACUAUCUUUGUUUAUGGUAUAAUAUUAUAAAAUACUAUUUUAUUUUGAAUUAAAAACAUCUGUUUUUCAGGUAAUAUCAAAAGAGGAUACCAAUGUGGCCUUUAAGAAUAUACACGUUUUCCAUGUAAUUAUUUCUCAUUAUUUGUUAGGGAAGUGCAUUAGACACUCAGUGCAGAGGCUAAAAUUAAAAAGGCUGAUCAUACCAAGUCUUGGCAAUGGUAUGGAGUAAUAGCACUCACAUUGUUGAUCAGGGCAUACAUAUGUGCAAUCCCUUUGGAAGACUGUUUGGCAGUAGGUACUACGAACUAGACAUAUGUCCACUGAUGACCUAACGAUUCCUCUGCUAGGUACAAACCCAAGACAAAUGUGUGUGUGUGUCCACCAGCAUACACAUCCAAGAGCGUCGUAGCCAAUAAGUACAGACAACCCAGACAUGCACUGACGGAACAGUGGGCAGUGGCCUGUGCUGUGGUCACACCUUGGCUCCCUCUGUGGCAGGAGAGGACAGGUGCACACAGAACAACAACACGUCACAGAUGUGAUGAAGUGGGGGGAAGCCAGACACAGAAGUCCUCAAAGCAGGAGCCCAACCCUAGAGUUUGACGGCAGACACACUUCUCUGUGCUGAUAGAAGUCAGAACAGUGACCCUCUGGGGCUGGGGUGAUGACUGGGAAGAGGCACUGGGGACUCCUCCUGGGUGUCCGGAAUGUUGUAUAUGUUGAUCGUGAGGGUGUGGCAUGUGUGUGUGUGAGUAGCAUGUGGUAUGUCUGUGGUGUGUAUGCUAUAUGGAGUAUGUGUAUGUGUGUGGUGUAUGUAGUGUGUAUAUAUGUGUGGUGUGUGUGUAUUUGGUGUGUGUAUGUGUGCUGUGUGUACUGUGUGUUGUGUGUGCGUUGUGUGUAUGUGUGGUGCAUGUGGUGUGUGUGGGUUGUGACGUGUGUUGUGUAGCAUGUGGUAUGUCUGGUGUGUUUGCCAUGUGAUGUGUGUGUAUGUGUGGUGUGUGUAUGUGGUGUGUGUAUUUGGUGUGUGUGGUGUGUUUUGUGUGUAAUGUAGUGUGUGUGUUGUGUGUUGUGCAUGUAUGUGUAUGUGUGUGGUGUGUGGUGUGUGUGUUGUAUGUGUGUUGUAUGUGUGUUGUGUGUUUUGUGUGUGGCCUAGUGUGUGGUGUGUGUAUGUGUGUGGUGUGUGUCUUUGGUGUGUGUUGUAUGUGUGUAUGUGUGUGUAUGGUGUGUGUGUGUGGUGUGUGUGUUUGGUGUAUGUGGUGUGUGUUUUGUGUGUAAUGUAGUGUGUGUGUUGUACGUGUGUUGUGCAUGUAUAUGUGUGUGGUGUGUAUAUGUGUGUUGUGUGUAUGUGUGUUGUAUGUGUGUUGUGUUGUGUGUGUGUUGUGUGUGUGUUGUGUGUGGUGUGUGUCUUUGUGUGGUGUAGUGUGUGUGUCGUGUGUAUGUGUGUGUGUGUGUGUGGUGUGUGUGGUGUGUGUGUGGUGUAGUGUGUGUGGUGUGCAUGUAAGAUCCAUUGUGUUACAUAAGAUCCGUUCAGGUUAUGUGCGUCCAUUUUCUCAGUAUUCUCAGGUGCACACAGGAAAAUGCCUUCUUCACAGAGAAGCACAUAAUGGUGGACGCUUGAGUCCAUUUGGAGAAAGACUGAGAACACUAACGUUUAACUUCCUGGAUUCUUCUCAGCCAGUUGGUGAAUUUUCUUUUAAACUUUACACAUUUUAUGUGGCUUCAAGGGACAGCAAAAUGUUACAAAACUGAAAGCCAAACAGAAAUAUGCCUUGAAGAAGUUGCAGACGCUGUUUUCUAAAAACACUGUUUUUGGUUCUGUCAGCAGGAAACGGCAGCUUUCUUUCUAUGUCACAAACGAUGGUGGCUCCUGGGGUCACCCAGUCAACAACAGCUGCCAAGACACCAGCUCCUCGAGGCACCGCCCUCCUGAGCUCUUGGCGCCACGAGGUCAUUGGCCAAGCAUUUGAAGAGUGAAUCACCGGUGUGCGCGUGGACACCCAGGCCACUGCUGGGACCCUGUGACCUAGGCUGGCUGCUGCCGCUGCCUCUGAGCAAGGGGCUUGGGAAGGGUGCCUCAAUAAGCCGCUGAUUGCUGUGGCAGCUGUGCCCGCUCCUGCCGGCCUCUCUGCGAAAUGAUGUAAAACGUGCCCCAGAGCCGUCCCUCCGAGGGCCAUGAAUGCCAAGGCACUCACCACCCUCUCCCUCCUUCCCCUGGCUGCUCCUGGGCAACAAGGCCCCACCAGAGACCCAGGUGGAAAGUGCGGGUUGUCUGAGCAAGGUGCGUCCUGAGAGGGGAAUGCUGAGGGGCUGUGGGCAGAUUGGCACCUCCCACACACCAAGUGCUCAGAGUGUCAGCAUUGUUUCCAAGUCGCAGGUGAAAGUCGAAAUACACACCCCCUUCCUUCAACACCUUUUCUUCAAUCACAAAUUUGGUGUUUAAAACUAAAAUGAAGUUAAGGAAGUGAACUAUUUCAAACAAAACCUCCUUCCUCUUGAUGCAACAUAGUAAGAGAUGUUGGUCCAGCUAAAAUUAUUUUCUCCUAAUUAGAGAGACAACCCACAGCAUGGAUGGUUACAAACUGUACAUCUGAUAAAGGGUUAAUACCCAAAAUAUGUAAGGAACUCAACCCAAUAGCAAGAAAACAACCUGAUUUUUAAAAUGGGCAAAAGACCUGAACAGACAUUUCUCAAAAGAAGACAUACAAAUAGCGAACAGGUUCAUGAAAAAAUGCUCAACAUUACUAAUCAUUAGAGAAAUGCAAAUGAAAAUCAUGAGCUAUCACAUCACACCUGCUGGAAUGGUUAUUCUCAAAAAAGACGAAAUGUAAGCGUUGGUGGGGAUGUGGCAAAAAGGGAAUCCUUGUACCCUGUUGGAGAAAACAUAAAUUAGUUCAGCCAUUGUGGAAAACAGUAUGGAGGUUCCUCAAAACACUAAAACUACAACUACCAUAGUUUCCGGCGAUCCCACUACCGGGCUUACAGCCAAAUGAAAUGGGAUCAGUAUGUCGCACAGGCACCUGCACCCCCAUGUUUACUGCAGGACUACUCACCACAGUCACGAUGUGGAAGAAACCUGUGUCCAUCAGAGGAUGAAUGGCUGAAGUAAAUGUGGUAUUAAACAAUGGAAUACUAGUCAGCCUUAAAAAAGGAGAAAAUUCUGUCACUUAUGACAACAUGGACAAACCUGGAGGACGUCAAGUUAAGUGAAAUAAGUCAGGCACAGAAAGGCAAAUACUGAACGACCUCACUACAAGGGCUGAACUCAUGGAAGCAGAGGGCGGGAUGGUGGUUACCAGGCGCUGGGGAAGGAGGGAAGGGAGGAGAUGGGGAGAUGUCAGUCAAAGGCUGCAAAGCUUUAGUUAGGAGGAAUACGUUCUAAUGAUCUAUUGCACAGCAGGGUGACUACAGCUAGUGCCAGCUGACCUGGGAACAAUGAGGGCCUGAGCUGCACAGGUCCACACAGUCGGGUCUGCACAGCAGAUUCCUUGUCCACAGCCAAACACUGAGGGAUGAGAAUCCCGUGUAUGCGGAGGGCUGACUUUUUGUAUUUGUGGGUUCCGCAGGGCCGACUGUGGGACUGGAGUAUAAGAUUUUGGUGUCUUGUGGAUCCUGAAACCCAUCCCCCAUGGAUACCAACGGAUGCCUGUAUAUGUUUCAAAAUCGAUAAGAGCAAUUCUCUUAACUUCAAAUGCUCCCACCACAAAAUAACGAUCAAGUAUUUGAGGUGAUGUUAACUAGCUUGAUUCAAUCAUUCCACAUUGCAUAUAUAUUGUAACAUCAAAUCCUACCUACAAUGUAACACAAUUACGAUUUGUCAAUUACAAGUAUUCUAACAGUAGCGAAGAAAGGAUCCUCUUCUGAAGGGCUCAUUUGUGGUCGCUGCCUUCACCCUCCCUCGGAGUCUUUCUCUCACUUAAGCUUCUGCUCCUCUCACAAGCUCAGGGUCAUGUGUUUCCAGUACAGGGAGAUAUUUUGAAUGAUUUCAGAUUUUCUCUGCUUGUUUCUACGGCCCAAACUCAGUUCAGACCCCACAUGUGUGCCGUGGGUAGGCCAGAAGGCCAGGGAACACGAGUGAGCACCGAAAUCCACAGCGACAUCCAAAAGGUGAGCGUGCGGCUGGAGACGGCGCAGGGCCUGGGCGUGCUUGCUGGACCUGGGAGAUGUGUCAUUGCCUGUUCCCAAAUGGCGUUGUUGCAUCCUGGGGUGAACUUUGAGGGAACACGAGCGACUCCAUGCCACCUACCAAGUGAAAGGCAGGCCUGAUGCCAUGCCUGGGGUGGGGUCCACAUCUCCGGUGGCAGAGACGACUCACCACACCACGUGCUCCUCUGCCGCGCCCUUCCCACAGCACUGGCUGUAACCUGGGGGACUCUGAGUCCUUUAUCAAGGUUGUCCUGGGAGAUGGGAGUUUAAACACCCAGCCCACAAGGCCACGGCCAUUCCCAGGCUUCUCUCUCCACACACCUGGGCUUUGUCAGUGGGUGCAGUGAUCGAGGGCAUAACGGGGCUCCAUCCCAAUGCUGCCUCAUCCCUGCAGUCACCCCGCACAGGUGACGCAGGCUUCAGAGGGCCCCGGACCUCGCCUGAGGGUGAAGAAAAUCAUGGCAUCACUGACAAGGCCGCCAUGAGGAUCGCGUGAGCAGAAACAUGAUGAUCAUGGCUCACUGAUGGGGCAGCUCUGAGGAUCGCAUGAGCAGAAACACACAGAUAAUCACGGAAUCACUGAUGGGGCCGCUGUGAGGAUCCCAUGAACAGAAACACACAGAUAAUCACAGAAUCACUGACGGGGCCGCUGUGAGGAUCCCAUGAACAGAAACACACAGAUAAUCACGGAAUCACUGACGGGGCCGCUGUGAGGAUCCCGUGAACAGAAACACAGAUAAUCACAGAAUCACUGACGGGGCCGCUGUGAGGGUUGCGUGAGCAGAAACACACAGAUAAUCACAGAAUCACUGACAGGGCCACUGUGAGGAUCCCGUGAGCAGAAACACACAGAUAACCAAGGCCUGACCAACGGGGCUGCUGGGAGGAUCCCGUGAGCAGAAACACGGACGAUCACAGCAUCACUACCGAGACGGCUCUGAGGAUCCUGUGAGCAGGACACUGGUGUGUUAUGCUUUAAAGCUUUUCCUUGAUCUUGGUGAUUUCACGUCUUAGGAAACCUCCCUCACUAAUCAGCCGGCCCCGUGGACAAUGCAGCUUCUCCUGAAAAGCAAACACUUCAACUUUCAGGCUUUGUGGCCACUGACCCACUUCUGGCCAGGCGCAGCCUCCUCCCUACCCCUCAUGUAACGGACCACAGGACGGACAUCUGUCACGAUGCCAUUUGAGACGGAAAGGGCACUGGGCUGGCAUCUGGAACUGGCCCCCAUGCCUCAGGUCAUCUGUCAUGAUGCCAUUUGAGACGGAAAGGGCAUUGGGCAGGCGUCCGGAACUGGCCCCCAUGCCUCAGGUCAUCUGUCACGAUGCCGUUUGAGACGGAAAGGGCACUGGGCCGGUGUCUGGAACUGGCCCCCAUGCCUCAGGUCAUCUGUCACGAUGCCGUUUGAGACGGAAAGGGCACUGGGCGGGCAUCCGGAACUGGCCCCCAUGCCUCAGGUCAUCUGUCACGAUGCCAUCUGAGAUGGAAAGGGCACUGGGCGGGCGUCCGGAACUGGCCCCCACGCCUCAGGUGGGUCUGGCAGGCUGCAUUUGUCCCUGGGCCUUGGUUUUUCCUUCUUCUUGAAUAAUUAGGAGUCCCUGAAAAGCAAUAUUUUCCUGGAAUCCUCAGCUAAACCAGAAGCUCCUACACACCAAGCCAGAAGAACAUGCUUCCGAAUUUCCUGUGGGUGGAUUGACCUGUAGGAACAGGAUUUAUUAUUUUGUUUUCCAGACAGAAGAAAUUGUUUCUUAACAUUUGCAAACUCUUAGUCCAAGAAUGUGGGGGAAUUAUAAUGUAUUUCAGAGUUACUCGUGAGUACAAUUUUCAAGUAGGUCAUCUGACUUUUAGCUUCUUCCUUUUUGAGCCGUCCAGGUCCCUCCUGUGAACACUCAGCUGCCCCCGACCCACACUACGAUCGUGUCCCUGGGGGAACCCCCGCCUGCACUUGGCAUCUUUCCUGUCUGUCUGUGUGAGUCCCGUCAAAACAGCCAUGACUGAGGUACAAACAUCUGAUAAUGACAAACUAUCAUAAAUACUGAUUGCUCCUCAGUUGGCACAGGUUGUAAUGAUUUAAACGUGUCUGCCUCCCUCAAUGGCUUUGUUUUCAGUUUUCUUUGUAGGAAUAUAUUACAGCCUCUUCUGUUGGCUAUAAAAUUCACCCAUAGCUAGGUAAUUGAAAAAAUAGCAAUCCUGAUUUUAUAGACAGCUGGUGAGAAGUCCUGUUAGGUAUUUGAACUUUUUUCAUGCAGGCAUACCUUAGCGAUAUUGUGGAUCUAGUUCAGACCACCAUAAUCAAAUGAAUAUCACAAUAAAGCAAGUCACACAAAUUUUUUGGUUUUUCAAUGCAUAUAAAAGUUAUUUUUAUGCUAUAUUGUAGUUUUUCCAGUGUGCAAUAGCAUUAUGUCUAAGAAACAUUGUAUAUACCUUAAUUGAAAGACUAUUGCUAAAAAUGCUAAUGAUAUCUGAGCUGUCAGCAGGUGGAAAUCCUUGCUGAUGAUGGGGUCUUUCCUUGAUGUUGAUGGCUGCUGACUGAUCAGAGUGGGCGCUGCUGAAAGCUGGGAUGGCUGUGGCAAUUUCUUAAAACAAUGAUGAAGUUUGCUGCAUUGACUGACUCUUCCUUUCACAAAGCCUUUCUCUAUCAUGAUGCUGUUUGACAACAUUUUAUCCCCAGUAGAACGUCUUUCAAAAUUGGAAUCAACCUCCUAAACUCUGCUGCUGCUUUAUCAACUAGGUUUAUUUAAUAUUCUAAAUCUUCUGUUGUCAUUUCAACAAUAUUCACAGCAUUUUCACCAGGAGUAGAUUCCAUCUUAAGUCAUUUUCUUUACUUACUCAUAAGAAGCAUCUUUUUAUCCAUGUAAGUUUGAUGAUGAGAUUGCAGCAGUUCAGUCCCAUCUUCAGGCUCCACUUCUAACUCUGGUUCUCUUGCUCUUUCCACCACAUCUCUGGUUCCUUCCUCCACCAAAGUCUUGAACCCCUCAUGGUCAUCCAUGAGAGCUGGAAUCAACUUCUUCCAAACUCCUGUGAAUGUUGAUAUUUUGACCCCCUCUCGUGAAUCCCAAAUGUUCUUAAUGACAUCUAGGGUGGUGAAUUUUUUUCUGAAAGGUUUUCAAUUUACUUUGCCCAGAUCUAUCUGAGGAAUGACUAUCUAUGGCAGUUAUGGAUGUAUGAAAUAUAUUUCUUAAAUGAGACUCAAAAGUUUAGAUGACUCCAUGGGCCGAAGAAUGGUUGUUGUUUCAGCCGGCAUGAGAACAAAAUUCAUUCUCCAUCAGAGCUCUUGGGUGACCAGGUGCAUUGUCGAUGAGCAGUAAUAUUUUGAAAGGAAUAUUUUUGGGGCAGUAGGUCUCAACAGUGGGCUUAAAAUAUUCAGUAAACCAUGCUGUAAACAGAUGUGUUGUCAUCCAGGCUUUGUUGUUCCGUUUAUAGAGCACAGGUAGAGUAGAUUUAGUAUAAUUCUUAAAGGCCCUAGUAUUUUUGGAAUAGUAAAUGAGCAUUAACUUCAACUUCAAGUCACCAGUGGCAUUAGCCCCUCACAAGAGACUCAGCCUGUCCUUUGAAGCUUUGAAGCCAGGCAUUGGCUUCUCCUCUCUAGCUAUGAAGGUCUUAGGUGGCAUCUUCUUCCAAAAGCUGGCUGCUUCACCUACACCAAAAAUCUGUUGUCUAGUGUAGCCUCCUUCAUCACUGAUCUUAGCUAGAUCUUCUGGAUAACUUACUGCAGCUUCACCUUGCACUUUAUGUUAUGGAGAUGGCUUCUUUCCUUAUACCGCAUGAACCAACCUCUGUGAGCUUCCAACUUUUCUUCUGCAGCUUCCUCUCCUCUCUUGGAUUUCACAGAAUUGAAGAGAGUUCAGCCUGUCACCUCUGGAUUAGGCUGUUUUGCUUUCUCAUCAUUUAUUUGUUCACUGGGGCAGCACUUUUACUUUCCUUCACGAACUUUUCCUUUGCAUUCUCAGCUUGGCUAACCAUUUUUCACAACAGGCCUCGAUUUCAGUCUUUCAUGCCUUUCAACAUGGGUUCCUCACUAAGCUUAACCAUUUCUAGCUUUUGAUAUAAGGUGAGAGAGGUGUGGCUUUUUCUUUCAUGUGAGCACUUAGAGGCACUUGCCAAAUUUAAAUAUUCUUGAGUCUCAGGAAAUAGGGAGGCCCAAGGAGUGGGAGAGAGAUGGGGGGAAGGUUGGUUGGUGGGGCCAUUGGAACUUACAACAUGUAUUAAGUUGGCCACCUUAUAUGGGCCUCCAAACCAUUACAAUAGUAACAUUAAAGAUCAACAGUCACAGAUUACCAUAACAUUCAUAAUAAUGAAAAAGUUUGGAAUAUUAUGGGAAUUAUCAAAAUGUGACACAGAAACAUGAAGUGAGCACAUGCUGUUGGAAAAAUGGCACCUAUAGACUCACUCAAUUCAGGGUUGCUACAAACCUUCAGUUUGUGAGAAAAGCAGCACCUGUGAAACACAAUAAAGGGAAGUGCAGUAAAACGAGGCCUGUGGGUUCUCCUUCUGGGCUGCUGAAUUUCCUGUGAGUUCUCCUUCUGGGCUGCCGAAUUUCCUGUGAGUUCUCCUGGGCUGCCAAAUUUCCUGUGGGUUCUCCUUCUGACUGACACAGCAGGAUUCCUGGUGUCCUUCAUCUCCCUGCACGUCAUCCAUUUAGCUUCCAAAUCUCACCUGCAUCCAGCUCCAACUCCUCCACGCCCUGCUGAAUGCCUCCAAUUUCUUAGCAGAACAUCUCAGCUCUGCUCAUGCCUCCACCUGCGUGUCUGCCGCCUGCAUCAAUGCACUGAGGGUUCUGCCAGACCCAGGACUUGCCACGCUUCAGAAUCAGUAGUGAGACAGAGAGCUAGCUUGCAUUCUUUUCAUCAUGUGGAAGAUACAAUGAGAAGUCAGUAUCUCAAGUCUGCAACCUGAAAGAGAACCCUCAUCAGAACCCAACAAUGCUGGAACCCAGAUCUUGAACUUUCAGCCUCCAGAACUGUGAGAAAUAAAUUUCUGUCGUUGAUAAGUGAACCAGUCCAUGCUAGGUGUGGCAAAGUAAGGUCUGGCCAAUGGGAUGUAUGGGCAAUUUCAAGGAGCGUCCUUAAAAAGAAGAGCAUAUCUUUCCUCAUUUCUUCUGUCAUAUUUCUUUCUGGAAUGGAGACAUGAUGGCUGGACUCCAGCUCCUUAUAGCCACCUUGGACAAUGAGGAUCUUGGCAAUGGAAGCCCUGCAUGACAAUACAACAAAAUGUGAGGGCCUGGCUCCCGGACGCUAUGAAUCAUUAUACCAACGUUGGGAUAUUAUAGAGAAAUAAAGGUCUAUCUUGUUUAAGCCUCUACUUUUUUCUGUUACUUGGGGCCAAAAUAUCCCCAAAUUGUUUAUAAAGAUGACACAUGCAUUAAUUUAAAGGCUACCUAACACUUGACAACACUUGGUAAGUGCCAAAUGAAUGACAUAAAUCAUAUGUAGCAGGCAGAGUCCUGUAAGUUCCUUGAGGAAAGCUUAGCUAGUGGAUCCUAUUGCCCUAGGGGGACUGAAAAUCCAAGUCAGAAAUGUUGAUGCAGAGGGAAAUUGUGAUGAUUUAAGCAUUUUAAAAUCCUUCCAACAGGUUUUAUUAUUACAGUGUAAGAUGGAAAAGGUAUCUGUUAUUUUUUUUAAUUUUUUUAUUUUUUUGAGACAGAGUCUCACUUGGCCACCCAGGCUGGAGUGCAGUGGCAUGAUAUCAGCUCACUGCAACCUCUGUCUCCUGGGUUCAAGCAAUCCUCCUGCCUCAUCCUCCCAAGCAGCUGGCGUUAUGGGCA